GCAACUGUAAUUUAAUGGUAAAAUAUUCGUCUUCCACAUGAAUUUUAUCGGUUCGAUUCCGAUUAGUUGUA
rnacentral:tRNA from 1 species